CCUACGGGAGGCAGCAGUGGGGAAUAUUGGGCAAUGGGCGCAAGCCUGACCCAGCAACGCCGCGUGAAGGAAGAAGGCUUUCGGGUUGUAAACUUCUGUUAUCAGGGACGAAGCAAGUGACGGUACAUGAUGCAUAAGCCACGGCUAACUACGUGCCAGCAGCCGCGGUAAUACGUAGGUGGCAAGCGUUAUCCGGAUUUACUGGGUGUAAAGGGCGGGUAGGCGGGUUUGUAAGUCAGAUGUGAAAACUAUGGGCUCAACCCAGAGCUGGCAUUUGAAACUGUACUUCUUGAGUGCUGGAGAGGAAAGCGGAAUUCCGUGUGUAGCGGUGAAAUGCGUAGAGAUACGGAGGAACACCAGUGGCGAAGGCGGAUUGCUGGACAGUAACUGACGCUGAGGCGCGAAAGCGUGGGGAGCAAACAGGAUUAGAUACCCGAGUAGUC
rnacentral:rRNA from 1 species